AUUGAACGCUGGCGGCAGGCCUAACACAUGCAAGUCGAGCGGUAGAGAGAAGCUUGCUUCUCUUGAGAGCGGCGGACGGGUGAGUAAUGCCUAGGAAUCUGCCUGGUAGUGGGGGAUAACGUUCGGAAACGGACGCUAAUACCGCAUACGUCCUACGGGAGAAAGCAGGGGACCUUCGGGCCUUGCGCUAUCAGAUGAGCCUAGGUCGGAUUAGCUAGUUGGUGAGGUAAUGGCUCACCAAGGCGACGAUCCGUAACUGGUCUGAGAGGAUGAUCAGUCACACUGGAACUGAGACACGGUCCAGACUCCUACGGGAGGCAGCAGUGGGGAAUAUUGGACAAUGGGCGAAAGCCUGAUCCAGCCAUGCCGCGUGUGUGAAGAAGGUCUUCGGAUUGUAAAGCACUUUAAGUUGGGAGGAAGGGCCAUUACCUAAUACGUGAUGGUUUUGACGUUACCGACAGAAUAAGCACCG
rnacentral:rRNA from 1 species